UACGUAGGGGGCAAGCGUUGUCCGGAAUCAUUGGGCGUAAAGCGCGUGUAGGCGGUUCGGUAAGUCUGCUGUGAAAGUCCAGGGCUCAACCCUGGGAUGCCGGGUGGAUACUGUCGGACUAGAGUACGGAAGAGGCGAGUGGAAUUCCCGGUGUAGCGGUGAAAUGCGCAGAUAUCGGGAGGAACACCAAUUGCGAAGGCAGCUCGCUGGGACGUUACUGACGCUGAGACGCGAAAGCGUGGGGAGCAAACAGG
rnacentral:rRNA from 1 species